GUAGGGAAUCUUCGGCAAUGGACGAAAGUCUGACCGAGCAACGCCGCGUGAGUGAUGAAGGUUUUCGGAUCGUAAAACUCUGUUGCCAGGGAAGAAUGGUUGAGAGAGUAACUGCUCUUGAUUUGACGGUACCUGAGAAGAAAGCCCCGGCUAACUACGUGCCAGCAGCCGCGGUAAUACGUAGGGGGCAAGCGUUGUCCGGAAUUAUUGGGCGUAAAGCGCGCGCAGGCGGUCAUUUAAGUCUGGUGUAUAAACCAAGGGCUCAACCUUUGGACGCAUUGGAAACUGGGUGACUGGAGUGUAGGAGAGGAAAGUGGAAUUCCACGUGUAGCGGUGAAAUGCGUAGAGAUGUGGAGGAACACCAGUGGCGAAGGCGACUUUCUGGCCUAUAACUGACGCUGAGGCGCGAAAGCGUGGGGAGCAAACAGG
rnacentral:rRNA from 1 species